rnacentral:rRNA from 1 species
CUGACGCAGCGACGCCGCGUGAGUGAAGAAGGUCUUCGGAUCGUAAAACUCUGUCCUUGGUGAAGAUAAUGACGGUAGCCAAGGAGGAAGCCCCGGCUAACUACGUGCCAGCAGCCGCGGUAAUACGUAGGGGGCGAGCGUUGUCCGGAUUUACUGGGCGUAAAGGGUGAGUAGGCGGUAAUAUGUGUCAGAUGUAAAAGGCUAAGGCUUAACCAUAGUUAGCAUUUGAAACUGUAUUACUUGAGUGCAGGAGAGGUAAGUGGAAUUCCUAGUGUAGCGGUGAAAUGCGUAGAUAUUAGGAGGAACACCAGUGGCGAAGGCGACUUACUGGACUGUAACUGACGCUGAGUCACGAAAGCGUGGGUAGCAAACAGGAUUAGAUACCCUGGUAGUCCACGCCGUAAACGAUGAGUGCUAGGUGUUGGGUAGCGAUACUCAGUGCCGAAGUAAACACAAUAAGCACUCCGCCUGGGGAGUACGGUCGCAAGACUGAAACUCAAAGGAAUUGACGGGGACCCGCACAAGCAGCGGAGCAUGUGGUUUAAUUCGAAGCAACGCGAAGAACCUUACCAAGGCUUGACAUCCCCUUGACCAGUGCAGAGAUGUACUCUUCUCUUCGGAGACAAGGGUGACAGGUGGUGCAUGGUUGUCGUCAGCUCGUGUCGUGAGAUGUUGGGUUAAGUCCCGCAACGAGCGCAACCCUUAUCCUUAGUUGCCAGCAAGUAAUGUUGGGCACUCUAAGGAGACUGCCGAUGAUAAAUCGGAGGAAGGUGGGGAUGACGUCAAAUCAUCAUGCCCCUUAUGUCUUGGGCUACACACGUGCUACAAUGGUCGGUACAAAGGGAAGCGAAGUAGAGAUAUGGAGCAAAUCCCAACAAACCGAUCCCAGUUCGGAUUGUAGGCUGCAACUCGCCUACAUGAAGUCGGAGUUGCUAGUAAUCGCGAAUCAGAACGUCGCGGUGAAUGCGUUCCCGGGUCUUGUACACACCGCCCGUCACACCAUGGAAGUUGGUAAUACCCGAAGUCGCUGAGCUAACCGCAAGGAGGCAGGCGCCGAAGGUAGGAUUAAUGACUGGGGUGAAGUCGUAACAAGGUAGCCGUA